rnacentral:sRNA from 1 species
UUCUUUGCUGUGCUGGCGAUCCUCACCAUCCUCGGCGUUCUCAAUGGGCUGGUUUUGCUUCCCGUGCUUUUGUCUUUCUUUGGACCAUAUCCUGAGGUCAGUAGUGACACGGGGAUGUCCCAUGUGUAGGCCGGCUGAAUGCUGUGUUUCCUGUGCCGCUCUUCAUUUCGAUACUUAGGUGCCUCCCCACUGGCUGGUGGUUCUUCAGUAAACGUCUCAGAGUCAUGUCUGUUUUCCUCUUCGGUGUACCGGCUUUGAGGGCUAGAGGGCGGGUUUGGUUUGGUUCCUCUAAAUCAACUGAUUGGCAGCCUGGCUCUUACAGAUCUUUGUACAGUAAAUGAAGACUUUCCCCUGAGAUGCAUAAUUGGACUUCACAAGAGUAAAAAGUACACACCUGCCUUUCCAGUGUGGAGCAGAGGACAGUUCUUCUGCUCCAGCUGCGGGACCUGAAUGUCCUCCAGGUGGUAGAGAAGGGGAGGUUAAUAUGGCACAGUGCGCAGGGCCCCAGGGCAGGGGACAGAGGCCCCUGAAAAAUACCGUGCUUUGAGCUUUGAGUGUGGCCAGCAGGUAAAUGGACAAGAACACUUUUAACAUGGAAUCCCCUUAAAUAGGUGUCUCCAGCCAACGGCUUGAACCGCCUGCCCACACCCUCCCCUGAGCCACCCCCCAGCGUGGUCCGGUUCGCCAUGCCGCCCGGCCACAUGCACAGCGGGUCUGAUUCCUCCGACUCAGAGUAUAGUUCCCAGACGACAGUGUCAGGCCUCAGCGAGGAGCUUCGGCACUAUGAGGCCCAGCAGGCCGCGGGAGGCCCUGCCCACCAAGUGAUCGUGGAAGCCACAGAAAACCCCGUCUUCGCCCACUCCACUGUGGUCCAUCCCGAAUCCAGGCAUCACCCACCCUCGAACCCGCGACAGCAGCCCCGCAGGGACCCCCCCAGAGAAGGCUUGUGGCCACCCCCCUACAGACCGCGCAGAGACGCUUUUGAAAUUUCUACUGAAGGGCAUUCUGGCCCUAGCAAUAGGGACCGCUGGGGCCCCCGUGGGGCCCGUUCUCACAACCCUCGGAACCCAGCGUCCACUGCCAUGGGCAGCUCCAUGCCCGGCUACUGCCAGCCCAUCACCACUGUGACAGCUUCUGCCUCCGUGACUGUCGCCGUGCACCCGCCGCCUGUCCCUGGGCCUGGGCGGAACCCCCGAGGGGGGCUCUGCCCGGGCUACCCUGAGACUGACCACGGCCUGUUCGAGGACCCCCACGUGCCUUUCCACGUCCGGCGUGAGAGGAGGGAUUCAAAGGUGGAAGUCAUUGAGCUGCAGGACGUGGAAUGCGAGGAGAGGCCCCGGGGAAGCAACUCCAACUGAGGGUGAUUAAAAUCUGAAGCAAAGAGGCCAAAGAUUGGAAACCCCCCACCCCCACCUCUUUCCAGAACUGCUUGAAGAGAACUGCUUGGAGUUAUGGAAAAGAUGCCCUGCGCCAGGACAGCAGUUCAUUGUUACUGUAACCGAUUGUAUUAUUUUGUUAAAUAUUUCUAUAAAUAUUUAAGAGGUGUACACAUGUGUAAUAUAGGAAGGAAGGAUGUAAAGUAGUAUGAUCUGGGGCUUCUCCACUCCUGCCCCAGCGUGUGGAGGCCACAGUGGGGCCUCUCCGUAUUCGUGCAUUGGGCCCCAUGCCACAACCAAGCUUCAUUAGUCUUAAAUUUCAGCAUAUGUUGCUGCUGCUUAAAUAUUGUAUAAUUUACUUGUAUAAUUCUAUGCAAAUAUUGCUUAUGUAAUACGAUUAUUUUGUAAAGGUUUCUGUUUAAAAUAUUUUAAAUUUGCAUAUCACAACCCUGUGGUAGUAUGAAAUGUUACUGUUAACUUUCAAACACGCUAUGCGUGAUAAUUUUGUUUAAUGAGCAGAUAUGAAGAAAGCACGUUAAUCCUGGUGGCUUCUCUAGGUGUCGUUGUGUGCGGUCCUCUUGUUUGGCUGUGCGUGUGAACAUGUGUGUGAGUUCACCAUGUACUGUACUGUGAUUUUUUUUGUCUUGUUUUGUUUCUCUACACUGUCUGUAACCUGUAGUAGGCUCUGACCUAGUCAGGCUGGAAGCGUCAGGAUAUCUUUUCUUACUUUGUGCUGGUGAGGGCUGGCCCUAAACAUCCACCUAAUCCUUUCAAAUCAGCCCGGCAAAAGCUAGACUCUCCUCGUGUCUACGGCGUCUCUUACGAUCAUUGGCUGCCAUCCAGGACCCCAAUUUGUGCUUCAGGGGAAUAAUCUCCUUCUCCCGGAUCAUUGUGAUGGAUGCUGGAACCUCAGGGUAUGGAGCUCACAUCAGUUCAUCAUCGUGGGUGUUAGAAAAUUGGGUGACAUGGUGCCCCUCUUGUGACCAACACACACACGACCCCUCCCCCAACACCCCCAAAUUCAAGAGUGGAUGUGGCCCUGUCCCAGGUAGAAAAACCUAUUUGGUUAAUUCUUGGCCCACAAUCUCCCAGAAAUGAUGUUUUGAGUCCCUAUAGUUUAAACUCCCUCUCUUAAAUGGAGCAGCUGGUUGAGGCUUUCUAGAUCUGUUUGCAUCUUCUUUAAAACUAAGUGGUGAGCAUGCAUUGUGGUGGUGUAGAGGCAGGCAUUAUGUAGGAUAAGAGCUCCGGAGGGAUUCUUCAUGCACCAGUGUUUAGGGUACGUGCUUCCUAAGUAAAUCCAAACAUUGUCUCCAUCCUCCCCGUCAUUAGUGCUCUUUCAAUGUGAUGUGGGAAAGCAGGAGGAUGGACACACCCCACUGAAGGAUGUAGGCAGGGGCAGGUCUCUCAACCAGGCCUAUUUUUAAAAGUUGCUUCUGUACUGGUUCUCUUUUGCUCUCAGGUGUGGGCUCCCUCACCUUGUAACCAGAGACCAGCACAUGUCAGGAAAGCACCCAGUGUUGGCUCCCCAUCCAAAUCCACACCAGCGCCUUGUUGCAGACAAGAAGUCAGAGGAAAGGGCGGGGUCCCUGCAGGGCUGAAGCCUAAGCUACUGUGAGGCGCUCAUGAGUGGCAGCUCCUGUUACUUCCUUUUAAAUUACGUGGGAAAUCUUAACAGAAAGGUAAUGGGCCCCCAGAAAUACCCACAGCAUAGUGACCUCAGACCCUGAUACUCACCACAAAACUUUUAAGAUGCUGAUUGGGAGCCACUUGUGGCUGCUGGGUGUGUGUGUGUGUGUGUGUGUGUGUGUGUGUGUGACUCUGCUGGGGACCCUGGCCACCCCCCUGCUGCUGUCUUGGUGCCUGUCACCCACAUGGUCUGCCAUCCUAACACCCAGCUCUGCUCAGAAAACAUCCUGCGUGGAGGAGGGAUGAUGCAAAAUUCUGAAGUCGACUUCCCUCUGGUUCCUGGCAUGCCCUCGCUCCCUUCCUGAGCCCAGCUCGUGGUGCGCCGGAGGCUGUGCGGCCCCUGAUUUCUGCAUGGUGUAGAACUUUCUCCGAUAGUCACAUUGGCAAAGGGAGAACUGGGAGGGGGCUGGCAGGGAAUUAGAAUUUCUCUCUCUCUUUUAAUAGUUUUAUUUUGUCUGUCCUGUUUGUUCAUUUGGAUGUUUUAAUUUUAAAAAAAAAAAAACUUUGCUGAUAUUUAUAAUUUUGUAUCAUAAGAAUGUUUUCCUCUACAGUAUUUGUCAUGCCAGUUUAUAACAAAAAAAAAUGCAGGGAUUUUAUUUCUAUUGGAAACAUUACAGCUAUGUUUUACUUUUGGACAGAAUUUUUAUUUGUAUAGAGUGCUUACUAAUGUUAAAUAGUUCAGAGUAUAUAACAUUUACAUUAAGGACUCAUGGUAGGUUUUAGGGUAAGGAGUUUAAAGGAAAUAAAUAUUCAAACUGGGUCUCAUUGCCAAUUUUGGUGGAAAUGAGUUUGUGUCAUUUCAAUUACAAAGAUAAAAGUAUGCCAUAUAAUUUAUUUAUAUGAAGAUUUAUUUUUGUAGUGUACAUAGUAGUCAUCAAGUCUUUUGACAGAAGUAUAUUUUUAAAGAAUUUAUAUGUGAUGAAUCCAUAAUGUCUGGAACUUUGCUGAGACAUGAGUGGGCACAGUUUUCAUUGUAAAUUACAGCAAGGAAAGAAAAUGUUUAACAGUGUUAAGAGAGUCAGAGCAGAGUGGAUAUUCAUGCGAUUAUGAAGUGUUUAUUAGUUACCAUUGGUGAUCUAGCAUGCUUCUCAUUUCAAACCUUGGAAGGUGAAAAUGUACAAACUCUCUAAAUAAUUAAUGUUCAAACACUGAUAGAAAUUCUAACAUGAAUAAAAAAUAAUAUAACUUGUUGGUU